AUUUCCAGAGCCAUAUAGAGUGAGAGUUGCGACAACUCCAUUGACUCCAAUGGAACGCUUUUUUUACAGCAAUGGCGGCUCGUGGAGCCUCUCAAUAGUUCCCGGAAGUAGCAGCAAACCGAUGCCGCGCCGUAGAGAUGCAGCAGAACAAACCGUUUGCGACGCACUUUUAACAGACCCAGGUAACUGGCUGAUGGUUCACAGGAAUGCUGACUGGCUGCUGACUGACUUGCUGCUGGUUGACUGGGCUGUGUCACCUGUCCCUGUCUCUCCUCUCUAGCCAUGUCCUUUUUCUUCACUCUCACUUUCCCUUCUCUGAGUGUCCUCGUUCUUUUUUCCUCAACCUUUGAAACUGAUAGAGGUAGAAUACAUGGUUUUGCUAAUUUUAAAUAUUGAAAAUAUCACAUCACUUUACUUCAACUAGUACGAGUUUGUACUUAUUAUAUAUGAAUCACCUGAAAUAACAUAGCUGUAAUCAGUAGCCAUUUCUUGUAUGUUCACAGGUCUAGGGGUGCAUCGUGGAGCAGGGCCCUCCUCUUUUUGACCACAGGACGAUGUACAAAGAUUGUGGGAAUAGCAUCUGGUCUCAGCCUACUCUUGAAUUUUUUGGUCAUGACAAAUUGCAUUGCCGCAAUUUGUCUGCAUGCUGACUUCAGUUUAGUUUCCACACACACCUUUUUUUUUUAUCUACCCACAUACAGUACAUACACAUGGUGGUUAAAUGCACAGUUAUAGGUAACACUGAUGACUCCCUGCAAUGUCUCACCAUGAGUCUCAGCUCCCUGGGUUUUGCAAGGCUUUGCUUGUUCCUUAUUUCUAGUAAAACAUUGUCAAUGUAAAAAAGUGCAAAUAAAUCGGGGAAGCCAUACAUUCGCACACCUUUCUCUGACCGAGUGGAGCAUCCCCAUGCAGCACAGUAAACCAUGGUGGAGACUAUGCAAGGACAACAUGAAAGAAAGGACACAUACAAAAUGCUUGUCAUGCUAUUAAAUUUAUUAGAAAUGUAUUCAUGAAUUGCUGUAAAUAGUUAAUUGUAUAAUUACAACUUAAAAUAACUGUUUUCUAUUUUAAAAUGGAAUAUACUCCUGUGAUGCCAACCUGAAUUUUCAGCAUCAUUACUUUUGAAUGGCUGUGUACAUGUUUAUAUACGAGUAUGCUUAAGUUGUUUUAAACCUGAAUAUAUUGUAUACAUGAAUAAGUAUUGUAAGAAUUAUACUAGAUAUAAUAGGUAUAUUAUUUAUAAUACAUAAUUAUAUUACUAUAUGUAAUUGUAAGAAUUAUAAACAGUAAGCUUCAUUUUACAUUUAUUUAACAUGCUAAUUACUGCUGCUAACAGUUAAUUGACCCAUAGUGCGGUGCGAGCUGAAAAUCACCUGUUACCAGCCUGUCU